GAAGGCCCUGCUUGCAGGGUGCUCGAGUGGCGAACGGGUGAGUAACACGUGGGUGAUCUGCCCCUGACUUUGGGAUAAGCCUGGGAAACUGGGUCUAAUACCGGAUAUGACCAAGGAUUGCAUGGUUCUUGGUGGAAAGCUUUUGCGGUUGGGGAUGGGCCCGCGGCCUAUCAGCUUGUUGGUGGGGUAAUGGCCUACCAAGGCGACGACGGGUAGCCGACCUGAGAGGGUGAUCGGCCACACUGGGACUGAGACACGGCCCAGACUCCUACGGGAGGCAGCAGUGGGGAAUAUUGCACAAUGGGCGCAAGCCUGAUGCAGCGACGCCGCGUGAGGGAUGACGGCCUUCGGGUUGUAAACCUCUUUCAGCAGGGACGAAGCGCAAGUGACGGUACCUGCAGAAGAAGCACCGGCCAACUACGUGCCAGCAGCCGCGGUAAUACGUAGGGUGCGAGCGUUGUCCGGAAUUACUGGGCGUAAAGAGCUCGUAGGCGGUUUGUCGCGUCGUCUGUGAAAUUCUGCAGCUUAACUGCAGGCGUGCAGGCGAUACGGGCAGACUUGAGUACUACAGGGGAGACUGGAAUUCCUGGUGUAGCGGUGAAAUGCGCAGAUAUCAGGAGGAACACCGGUGGCGAAGGCGGGUCUCUGGGUAGUAACUGACGCUGAGGAGCGAAAGCGUGGGUAGCGAACAGGAUUAGAUACCCUGGUAGUCCACGCCGUANACGGUGGGUACUAGGUGUGGGUUCCAUUUCACGGGAUCCGUGCCGUAGCUAACGCAUUAAGUACCCCGCCUGGGGA
rnacentral:rRNA from 1 species